rnacentral:lncRNA from 1 species
AUGGAAGGUUCAUCUUGAUUCGCAAAUGAUGGUGGAGAGGUCAUUAUAUGCUAUGGGUAAAGAAAAGAACCAUUCAAUGUAUGAAAACAAAAAAUGAAAACAAUAGAUCACUUACCUUGUAUUCACAGGGGGGGAGGUAAAUGAAACCAGAUGAUGGGUUGGAUGACCUAGACAAGAUAGAGAAAAAAGACGAUGAAGUGUUUGGAGAUUGUAGAAGUAGACAUUGGGGCAAAAAGACAAAAAAUAAGGAAAUCGAAAGAUUGCACAAGGUGGCAAACCCGACUAUUGACAGAUGAAUAGUAAAAAGGACAAUGUGGCAAAACCGAUGUUGGAUAGACAAAGAUUUGGUUUUCUUCAUAUGAAAAAUAUUUUAGCAGAGGACGUCUACGAAAUACAGGAGAUAAUAUACAUAUUAUGGGAACAUCAUAAUGUGUAUAAAACGAAUCAUUUGAGAAGAUAUUGAUUGGAUAGGAUGACAUAUGAUGCCAACAGAUAAAAGACAAAGAAAUGGACUGUCAGCAGUAGAAGAGGUAGGUGAGUACAGUGAAAAAGAAAACAGGUGAUUAGACUAGGACAAAGAACAAGUAAAGAAGAAGAAGAAGAAGAAGAAGAAAAGGUACAUCUGACAAAGGAAUUGACGGAAGAAAGAAGAGAGAGAAAAACAAAAUGGCGGAGAUAUAGAAAUAAUGGAAGAGGGAGAGAAGAAGAACCCAUGGACUUCGAUGGCAGCAAAAAACUUAAGAUACAUCGACAUUCGUUAGAAUGUAGGAAAAAAUACUCAAUCUAAUUGCUGGAAGGAGGGAAGACGGAGGAAAAACAAAAACAUGGGAAGAUAGGAGAAGGAAGACUAGAGAGAGGACGACUACUACUGACGGAAACAAAAACAGAGUAAUCUGACGGAAGAUAGAAGUGAAACAGUAGAAGGACAGGUACUACUGACAAAACGAAAACGUGAAAAGAGAGAGGUGAAUAACGGUGAAUAAAAGGAUUAAAAAAAUGAAGAAAACAGUACAAGAUGAGAGAGUGUGUCACCGGUUGUUAGAGGUUGAAAAGCAACGGUUUAGAUGAAAGAAAAGAAAAUGGAAGGUUGAGAUUUAGUUCACAUUUGAGAACCCAAAAUAGGGGUUCUCAACUGAUAUUUUUUGUAUUCAUUUAAUCAUUUUAAUUUUUUAAUUUUUACUUGGGUAAAUGGGUCGGGUUAAGCCGGAUC